rnacentral:rRNA from 1 species
CGAAGGGGGCUAGCGUUGUUCGGAAUUACUGGGCGUAAAGCGCGCGCAGGCGGUUCUUCAAGUCAGAGGUGAAAGCCCAGGGCUCAACCCUGGAAUGGCCUUUGAGACUAGAGAACUAGGGUACGGGAGAGGUGAGUGGAAUUCCGAGUGUAGAGGUGAAAUUCGUAGAUAUUCGGAAGAACACCAGUGGCGAAGGCGGCUCACUGGCCCGUUACCGACGCUCAGGCGCGACAGCGUGGGGAGCAAACAGGAUUAGAUACCCUGGUAGUCCACGCCGUAAACGAUGGAUGCUAGCCGUUGGUAAGCAUGCUUAUCAGUGGCGCAGCUAACGCAUUAAGCGUCCCGCCUGGGGAGUACGGCCGCAAGGUUG